GCAUGUUGCUUUUCUCUUUCUUAGAAAUAUUUCUGUAGCUGCCAUGACUGUAGUAAUAGGAUUUGAGGGCAGUGCCAAUAAGAUCGGCAUUGGAAUCAUCAGGGAUGGUGAAGUGCUUUCCAACCCUAGACGGACCUACAUCACCCCUCCUGGUCAAGGCUUCAUGCCGAGCGACACCGCCAGGCACCACCGUGCUGUCAUACUGACUGUCCUGAAGGAGGCGCUGGAGCAAGCAGGGCUGAAGCCUGCAGACAUCGACUGUGUGGCGUACACCAAAGGUCCUGGUAUGGGUGCCCCCUUGGUAACAGUGGCUCUGGUGGCCCGUACAGUCGCACAGCUUUGGGGAAAGCCACUCCUUGGUGUCAACCACUGUAUUGGACACAUUGAGAUGGGCCGACUCAUCACAAAAGCCAACAACCCCACUGUACUUUAUGUUAGCGGAGGAAACACACAGAGUCAGAAAAACCGGAAUGUGUGUGAACCUUCGUGUUGGACUGUUUUCACAACCUCGGUCAGAACAACAGUGGACUGACUGACAGACUGUUCCUGAAAGAGGGAUUGUACCAACUGUCUGUGGAGAGACGGCAGAGGAAGUCACUGUGACCUGAUGAAGCUCAGGUGUUCCUGGACUCAUCAGAGGACAGAGACAGCUGCAGCAUCAGGACAGUCUGGGUAUCCAAAGGAAGACUCAUGAAGAUGAACACUGACUGCAGAGCUCCAUUACUAGAUCACACUUCAAUAUACUAGAAACUACCUUGAUGGAGAACAUGAUCUGCACAGUUUACAUAAAAGUUAUAGCUUUGUUACUUACAACAUGUGUAACUGGAAUAUGAAUGAAACAUAAAUAAAGUGUUUUACUUUUAA